rnacentral:lncRNA from 1 species
CCGAAGAAAUAAACUGACGUAACUAUUUGAAGUACAAAUAAGUGUAAUUUUAUUUUAAAAGAUGCAAAUAUGUGUUGCCAAAUACUGUUUUCGUCAUGGUGUAGUCCACUUUCAGUAAACAACUCAAUGAAGUUUAUAAACUUCAUAUGAACAGUAACAAAUGAGUCAUCCUAUUCAAAUCAAAUAAACAAAUAACUAGUGUGCCUAUUAUUUGUAAGGUCCUGUGAUCAAAAGGUACAGUCGUUUAUAGCCAGUGCUUUACUCAAGUCCUUUCUUGAUAGAUAGAUGGGUGGCAGAUGGAUAGAGAUAUCCUACAUAUCUAUCAUCUAUCUCUACAUUCUUCUUUUCCGGUAUUUCAUCCAACUUCCACUAAAGAUAGUUUGUGUGACUUUAUUAUAGAAAUAAAGUUCACAAUAAAGAUGAUUUACAUACAGAACUCUUAUAUUUUCAUUCAUGGAAAAAACCACAACAUGGUGGUGCCAGUGACAGUCUGUGUUUUGGGGCAGGAUAGAAACUAACCUGCUUCAGUUACCUGACAUUCUAGCAAACUUAUUAGGAACACAAACGCUCGGGUCUCUGAAUGCACCAACCUGAGCGCCGGCUGAUUAGGCAUUGUAAAGCAGUGUUCUAAAAGGAAAGGCCUUCACUUAAACAGUGCUACAACGUGUUUGUUCAGCUUUCUUUCAUACACAAACUUUUGCCAGAAAAGGCGUUUUAAGCCGAGGGUAAAGAUUUUGUGCGUCCACCGUUCCCAUCUUCAACUCUUUAGAAUAAUAGUCAUUUAAGCACCGGACCUGUCUUCAGAUUCUUACUUUGCGACACAGCUUUGGCCGGACUUGGCUUGAUCUGGGCUCCAGGAUCGGUCCCACCACCCGGGCUCGGAGCGGUUUGUUCCUAGUGGAUCAGGGCGGGUGUGUUGCCGGAGUCGCCUUCUAUUGGCUACACUCCCGGGGACUGGCUGGGCUUUCCGACACCUGAUUGGGCGGAACAGCCCUCUGUACGCCGACAUCAUUGGAGGGCGCUGGAGCCAGGGGGCGGAGCGGGUUCCCCAGGAUUCUUGACCGGGCGCGCUAGUCCGUCCGCUGAGCCGGGCGCGGGGCGCAAGAGCGGAGCUGCGCGAGCCGCUGCGGAGGGAAGGGCUCCUAGCCAAUUGGGGUCUUUGAGGCGAAUGCGAGGCUGGGGCCGGUUGCCUACCGGCCGCUUCUCGCCGAGGCAGUCCAGACUUUUCCCCCGGCGGUGCCCGCUCCAAGACAGCAUCUGUCAACGCUCCUCUUCUCCCCUCCUCCUCCUGCCGGGCCGGGCUCCGCCGGCUGCGGCCGAGAGGACGCGGGACCCGGCGCGGUGAGCCCAUCAGCUGUCAGGCGAGCGGCGAAGCGGCUGGAGGGCGGCGAGAGACACACAAAGAACGCGGUGGGCGGCGGCGGCGAAAGGGGACGGCAACUCCUCCCCGCGCCCGCCGGUGCCACCGCCGGCCGUGCUUGUUCCGAGGCCGCGCAGACAAUGCGGCCGGGCUCGUCCCCGCGUGCCCCAGAGUGCGGAGCGCCCGCGCUCCCCCGACCCCAACUUGACCGUCUCCCGGCUCGCCCAGCCCCCUCCCGGGGUAGGGGCGCCCCCUCCCUCCGGUGGCCGGCGAAGGAAGUCGGUCCGCGGCCGCAGAUCCCGGCAACUUGCGAACCGGGAAAAGUUUGCGGCGCCUCCGCGGGGCGGCGCGACGCGGCCCGCCCCUCGCGUCCGCGGUCAUCGCGGGUGACUUUCUCGACUCGUCGUCAGCCGGGGCCGCAGCGCGGCCGGUGGGGACUGCGGGGCGGGCCGGAGUCCGUCCGAGGGCUCCCGCACCUCGGGCUGCGGGAACAUUAAAAUCUCCCCAGAUGCUCACUGCUCUGAUCAUUUCCCCUACAGCACCAGACAUGUUGGCAUCAUCUCUUAGUUGGGCCAUGUGGCCAGGGAACCCUUCAUGAAACCACCUCUGCAGUCCUGGAGAGUUGCUGUAGAAGAAGGAAAAGAGAGGAAGACAACACAACACAGGAGGGGAUAAGUACCUCUGGACACAAUGGAAGUAGUAGUUGUUGAGCAGAGGGAAAGGGAUAGGAGAAGGAUGUGGACUGCAGUGCUGCAGUGCCAGGAAGUUCGAGGACCUUCAGAAAUCAAU